UGCAUUUUCAUUCAAAUGUUGCCUAAUUUCCUCACAGAAAAUAUUCAUAUCGCGAACAAAAUUCUCCGUUAAAUUGGAAGAUAAAUAAAUGCAUUUACAAGUAUGUCCUAAAAAUCGUGAUUUGUCAAAAGACAAUCGGCAACGUCUGAAUGGUCAUCCGGCGUUCUUCCUCGGCACGGCAGGGUACUGGUUGACACUUUUUUCGUAUUCUCUGCAAAUCGGCACCACUGGUAAUCAGCUUCCAAAGCGCCUGGCGCUUGGCGCAUGGAGUGCAGGGGCCUUUGCAGCGCACGGCGGCGGGCGCGGAGCGGGGUGCCCAUUGAAAAAUUCGAGCGGCCUUACGAGCCACGAUACUCGACGUAGUACUACAGCCACCAUGCGAACCGUUGUGAAUGACUCCGUUUGAAUUACAGAUUCACUGGGACUCCACCGCGUCGAGAACGUGAGCAACAGCGAGCGGGCUGUGAGCCUCCACCUCUACUGCCCACCGUUCGACUCCUGCUCAGUAUUCAACCAGCGGACUGGCCACAGGUCCACGAGUAAAGUCACAUUCUGGUCGAUCUACGGAGAGCGCCGCAAUAAGAAAUUGAUGGAAGACGUAGAGCCAGAGGACAA